AUACGGAGGGUCCAAGCGUUAUCCGGAAUCAUUGGGUUUAAAGGGUCCGCAGGCGGUCAAUUAAGUCAGAGGUGAAAGCCCAUCGCUCAACGAUGGAACUGCCUUUGAUACUGGUUGACUUGAGUUAUACGGAAGUAGAUAGAAUAAGUAGUGUAGCGGUGAAAUGCAUAGAUAUUACUUAGAAUACCGAUUGCGAAGCAGUCUACUACGUAUAUACUGACGCUAAUGGACGAAAGCGUGGGGAGCGAACAGGAUUAGAAACCCGAGUAGUCC
rnacentral:rRNA from 1 species